AGCAGCCGCGGUAAUUCCAGCUCCAAUAGCGUAUAUUAAAGUUGCUGCAGUUAAAAAGCUCGUAGUUGAAUUUCGGGAUCAGUUGGUCGGUCGUGCCUCGGUACGUACUGGUCAAAUUGAUUCCUACCUUCUGACGAACCACGAUGUCAUUAAUUUGGUGUCGCGGGAAAUCAGGACUGUUACUUUGAAAAAAUUAGAGUGUUUAAAGCAGGCUCGCGCUUGAAUACAUUAGCAUGGAAUAAUGAAAUAGGACGUUUGAUUCUAUUUUGUUGGUUUCUAGGAUCGACGUAAUGAUUAAUAGGGAUAGUUGGGGGCAUUAGUAUUCAAUUGUCAGAGGUGAAAUUCUUGGAUUUAUUGAAGACUAACUACUGCGAAAGCAUUUGCCAAGGAUGUUUUCAUUAAUCAAGAACGAAAGUUAGGGGAUCGAAGGCGAUCAGAUACCGUCGUAGUCUUAACCAUAAACUAUGCCGACUAGGGAUCGGAUGAUGUUAAUUUUUUUAAUGACUCAUUCGGCGCCUUA
rnacentral:misc_RNA from 1 species